rnacentral:rRNA from 1 species
AGUGAACGCUGGCGGUAGGCCUAACACAUGCAAGUCGAACGGCAGCACAGUAAGAGCUUGCCCUUACGGGUGGCGAGUGGCGGACGGGUGAGGAAUACAUCGGAAUCUACUUUUUCGUGGGGGAUAACGUAGGGAAACUUACGCUAAUACCGCAUACGACCUACGGGUGAAAGCAGGGGAUCUUCGGACCUUGCGCGACUGAAUGAGCCGAUGUCGGAUUAGCUAGUUGGCGGGGUAAAGGCCCACCAAGGCGACGAUCCGUAGCUGGUCUGAGAGGAUGAUCAGCCACACUGGAACUGAGACACGGUCCAGACUCCUACGGGAGGCAGCAGUGGGGAAUAUUGGACAAUGGGCGCAAGCCUGAUCCAGCCAUACCGCGUGAGUGAAGAAGGCCUUCGGGUUGUAAAGCCCUUUUGUUGGGAAAGAAAAGCAGCAGGAUAAUACCCCGCUGUUCUGACGGUACCUAAAGAAUAAGCACCGGCUAACUUCGUG